rnacentral:rRNA from 1 species
GGUUAAGCGACUAAGCGUACACGGUGGAUGCCCUGGCAGUCAGAGGCGAUGAAGGGCGUGCUAAUCUGCGAUAAGCGCCGGUAAGGUGAUAUGAACCGUUAUAACCGGCGAUACCCGAAUGGGGAAACCCAGUGUGAUUCGUCACACUAUCAUUAACUGAAUCCAUAGGUUAAUGAGGCGAACCGGGGGAACUGAAACAUCUAAGUACCCCGAGGAAAAGAAAUCAACCGAGAUUCCCCCAGUAGCGGCGAGCGAACGGGGAGGAGCCCAGAGCCUGAAUCAGCAUGUGUGUUAGUGGAAGCGUCUGGAAAGGCGCGCGAUACAGGGUGACAGCCCCGUACACAAAAGCGUAUGUGCUGUGAGCUCGAUGAGUAGGGCGGGACACGUGGUAUCCUGUCUGAAUAUGGGGGGACCAUCCUCCAAGGCUAAAUACUCCUGACUGACCGAUAGUGAACCAGUACCGUGAGGGAAAGGCGAAAAGAACCCCGGCGAGGGGAGUGAAAAAGAACCUGAAACCGUGUACGUACAAGCAGUGGGAGCACCCUUUGGGGUGUGACUGCGUACCUUUUGUAUAAUGGGUCAGCGACUUAUAUUCUGUAGCAAGGUUAACCGAAUAGGGGAGCCGGAGGGAAACCGAGUCUUAAUUGGGCGUUAAGUUGCAGGGUAUAGACCCGAAACCCGGUGAUCUAGCCAUGGGCAGGUUGAAGGUUGGGUAACACUAACUGGAGGACCGAACCGACUAAUGUUGAAAAAUUAGCGGAUGACCUGUGGCUGGGGGUGAAAGGCCAAUCAAACCGGGAGAUAGCUGGUUCUCCCCGAAAGCUAUUUAGGUAGCGCCUCGUGAAUUCAUCUCCGGGGGUAGAGCACUGUUUCGGCUAGGGGGUCAUCCCGACUUACCAACCCGAUGCAAACUGCGAAUACCGGAGAAUGUUAUCACGGGAGACACACGGCGGGUGCUAACGUCCGUCGUGAAGAGGGAAACAACCCAGACCGCCAGCUAAGGUCCCAAAGUCAUGGUUAAGUGGGAAACGAUGUGGGAAGGCACAGACAGCCAGGAUGUUGGCUUAGAAGCAGCCAUCAUUUAAAGAAAGCGUAAUAGCUCACUGGUCGAGUCGGCCUGCGCGGAAGAUGUAACGGGGCUAAACCAUGCACCGAAGCUGCGGCAGC